UAUUGGACAAUGGGGGCAACCCUGAUCCAGCCAUGCCGCGUGAGUGAUGAAGGCCCUAGGGUUGUAAAGCUCUUUUGUGCGGGAAGAUAAUGACGGUACCGCAAGAAUAAGCCCCGGCUAACUUCGUGCCAGCAGCCGCGGUAAUACGAAGUGGGCUAGCGUUGCUCGGAAUCACUGGGCGUAAAGGGUGCGUAGGCGGGUUUUUAAGUCAGGGGUGAAAUCCUGGAGCUCAACUCCAGAACUGCCUUUGAUACUGAAGAUCUUGAGUCCGGGAGAGGUGAGUGGAACUGCGAGUGUAGAGGUGAAACUCGUAGAUAUUCGCAAGAACACCAGUGGCGAAGGCGGCUCACGGCCCGGUACUGACGCGAGGCACGAAA
rnacentral:rRNA from 1 species